UCAGGGCUUAAAAAUGUAUUUUAAUUUUACCUCAAAAAUAGUCCUUGGAUUUAUAUUGGAAGUUACUAUAUAUUCAGUUUCUGAAUUUGAAUUAGUUUUGGUCUUUAUAUUUCUUUUCUAUUUUCCAUUAUUCUUUGUUAGCACAGAGGGUUUAUUAACACCUUAUUUGUAUUCAAAAUGUUAUUUGUUCUGUUUUCUUACAAAUUAAGUCCAGAAAAGUUGACUGACUGUUGAAAUGAUCUUUUUUUCUCACUGUUUUCGAAGGUUUUGAAUGUUUUAAUUUUAAUGAGCUUCUCAUGAUUAUAUCCUCAUUUAUAAUUACACAUUUUCUCAUUAUGAAGUUAUUAUUAUUAGCCUUCCUCCACUUCAAGUCUGCUUUAUGCAAUACUUGUUGUGCUUUCUGUUUGCAUUCAUCUGACUUCUAAAUUAUAUCUUUAUUAUCUUAAACUUUAUGUGACAUUUCACAUGUCUCUGUCUUUUAUAAGGAGAAACCACUGGAUUCUGUUUAAAAAUUGAACCCAGUUUAUUUUCCACAAGGUCAUUUCUGUUUAUCCAUGCACAUUUUAUAGUCCCCUUGCCACCUUGGUUAAUGGUGGGUUUAUAAGGGCUUCAUGUUGUUUUAAAUCUAAACUUUUGUGGAACACCAUUUUAUUGACUACAACACCCAUCCACCCACCGUCUACAUCCAAAUCUGCUGUUUUCCAAGGAAAGCCAUGAGUGGGAGGAACAGUUCAGAGAGGCCUAGCUAACGGUUCCUUAGACCUAUUUGGCUAUAAAACUCAAAGAAAGUAGCACGUUAAAGGAACACUCGUGUAGGUGUGAUGUGCAUUUAGGUUAAAAUAGACAGGAAUACAAAGGUUUUCUGAUGGAUUCAUUGUCAGAAAUGACCACAUUUGAUUCAUCUUUUAAUGGGCAAGAAUUGAGCAAUAUGAGUGGUAUCCUUUAAGAAAUAUAUGUAAAAGAGGCCAUACCCAUCCCAAAUCAUCAGUUUUUCAUGGCAUGUUAGAGAUUCGUGAAUCAUGAAUCUCUCAUGAGACCAUUAGGCAUUUUAAUAUGGGGUGUGCCAGCUCUCCACCUCUUUUGACCAGAGCCUCAUGAAUCAUAUGGUAUAACAAUAAGGAUCAUGUAUGUACACACACACACACACACACACACACACACACACACUUUAUGCAUAUCUCUGAAAUUAUACCCUGGAUAUUGUAUUUUCAUUUUUAAAAUGUUUUUCCUUUCCCUCACUAAUUAUUCAGAGCAAUUAUCUGUAGAUUAGUUUUCACAGAACAUGAUGGUGGGGAGCCUCUCUUAGGCAGUUUAAUUGAAAAGUAGGAGAUGCUUGCUCUGGAGAUGUGGUCAUAAUAAACUGAGUUCAGAGACUGAAAUUAAGACCUGCCUCCUGUCUUAAGGAGUUGAGGGUCUCUUAUUUAAUGCACUCAAUUUCUUCAUCUAGAUUGAAUAGGUCAGCAAACAUGUAUGGAGCUCUUUUUACACAGAAAUCUUCAUAUGAAGUCACAAAACAAUAAGGUUACAUCAGGUGCCAUUAUAGGGACAGUAGUUAUGGACUAGAGAACAUUAUGUGUUUGGACCUUUAAUCCUGCAUGUACCCACAGGGUAUAUGGUAUAUGGAGGCAGCAUCCCAUGAAGUCCAGAUGAUAUGACCACUGUUAGGACAACAGGCUCCACUCUUAAGAAUAUAUCUUCAUCAUUAUUUCAAGAGGUGCAGUGUACUUAAAGUGUUAUUUCAGUGCCUGCUUCUUCAGGGACAGUGAGUCCCCUUUGGCAACUAGCAUACAGCAAGGAACCAGAGAAAAGUACUUCCUGGAGUGAUGGUACUAAGAUUAGUCUUGAUUCUCAAUUUGGUUAGAACUGGGCAUGGUGCUUUACUGAAGCAGGACAAUUUCCAGGAAUUUGAGGACAGCCUGGUUGACUGAGUGACGUCCUGUCUCAGAAAGCCAAAUGACAGUAACAACAGAAAAACAAAUGGAAGGUCACUUGAUUUGGUUGAGAGACACGUUGGCGAUCAGUGAAGCACACAGUCAGGGCUGUCUGUGAGGAUUUCCUUAGAGUGGUUGCAUCAAGAUGGCUCUGACUCCAUCAGUGGGUUUGUCCAUGUGAUGGAUUCAAAAUCUGAAUAGACUAUUAGAGGUGAAGGAGUUGUGCAAGGUAGGUGUAGUAAGAGGAAGCGAGUCUCUUGGGGAUGUGCUUUUAAAGGGUGUGUUUGGGUCUGGCUCAUUCUUAUUACUUUUUCUGUUUCCUGGCCACUGUGCAGAAAGCAGCCUUUUCCCAUACAGUCGGUGGAUCCAGCUGAUCUUGCAAUGAAAUCUAUAAAGUCACUCACCCAAAUAAACCCCUCCUCUUCUAAGUUGAUGAUGCUAGGGUUUCUUGCCACAGUGAUGAUAAGGUGACUAAUAUACACGACGAUCCUGAUUCUUAUGCAUUGCAAAGCUUAGAUUUCUUUCUUGAUUAAAACAGCAAUAAUUACAAAAUGCAUAGCAACAAUAAAAAGUCACAAUGAAGAAUUGCAAAUAUAGUUAAUUUUUAGUGCUAAAUAAGGUAAAGUUGAGCUCACCCUUACAAAUUUGUGUCAGAUUGGUCCCUGAUGAUAUGCAUCAUGUAGACCCUGACAUUUAGAGAGGCCUGAAUUUAGUUGGAUGAACUAUAAAGAUGGGAGUAAGGGCACAAGGCAAGGAGCUCCCAAAGUGCUAGACAGAAUCAACAAGCAUUCUCGGAGCAUUUUCUAUGAUCUCCAUUGUGCUAUAGGUUGGAGAAUUUAAAAGAAGGAGAUGCUUUGGUUUGCAAAGAAUUUACCAUUUGUCGAGGAUGCUAGAGCUUAUUGAGGGCCUACUAUGUGUCAGUUCUGUGGGGUAUAUUUUCCAAUUCAUUUGUUCUCUUCAUUCUUCUAACCACACAGUUAAAAAGAAAGGGGGAUGAGAAGGGAGUCUGGCCCACCUUUGCUUUCCCCUUCUGGUGGCAAGGAGGUUUCUGACUAUAUCAACAGUUGGGGUUGGGAGUGAAGUUACUAUCAACUGAUCCUCAAGAAGGUAAAUUGUAGCAGACCGUUGAUAUUUAGAAACAACAUCCCAUUUGUAGUUCACUGAAUUCCCAUUUACAGAUGGAGAAACUGAGCCCCAGUAGAUCCAGGACUCACCCAUACAUUCUCACUGCUUCAAAAUCAGUAUGACACUGCUUAAAAUGGGACACAUCCCUCCUUCCAUGUUCCCGCAUGGUAGUGAUGUGACCCCAUGUUUGUCUGUAUAGGGGAAGCCAUGCCCCCAUCUUUACUGUCAUCUUUUGAAGAUCCUGUAACCUGAUCUUCUCUAGAAAUCGUUCCUACUCCCUAGCACAGGCAUGUCUACCACAUCCAGAGCCUAGGGUCUCAGACUUUUCCUACUCUAGUAGCAUGACUUGGAGAAAGUCACUCAGCACUCAAGUCCGGACAACCAACACAAGCAUGGUGGUACCUGGCCUUUCAUCAUUGCUUGAUCACCAGCUGGCCCUGUUCUUUGGACUUCUUUGUCUGUGAAAUGAAGCACAACUACACUUGUAGUUGUGGGUGGGUGGGGUGAGAAAAGGUAUACAAAAAAAUACCUGCCAUGAGUUACUAACUGUGCUGCAUUUCUCCCAUUUUAGGCAGCCAGACUUUCAGAGAACACUGGGAAUGUUCCAGAAACAGUGGGACUGAGUGUCUCUUUGUUUAAUUCCUCCCACCCUAUUCUGCUUCAUUCUGGAUGUAUUUGUCUCUUAUCUUCAUCAUAGACUUAAUAUUGAUCGGGCAAAACAGAGAGUAAAACCAUAAAAAGAACUCUGAGAGGCAGUUGGGCCUUGGUAGGGAGAGGUGGGUAGGACCAUUCUGUUUGUACAGGUGCAUUGUAAUGCUGCCUGCGGUGUGAACAUUUUCCACUUCAUUACUCCUGGCUCUGGCCCAGGUCCUGUCUGUUCCCCUGGCCCCUGUCUUGGUUUAAUUUCAGCCGUCCCUGGCCUUUGGAAGAAGCUGUAAUAGAAAGGAAAACAAAUGAGGUCGCCACAAACAUUUUUUCUUUCUUUCUUUUUUUUUUUUUUUUCACAUUUGACCAGGCCUAGCCGAUGGUAUGCUUGUGAAGCAGAAAGAAAGCCAGUUGGCUAGGGCUUUUGGUGCCCCCAUCAAAGGAACUUGUUCCCCAAGGGCUUCUGUCUGCUGAGCCUGAUCCCUCUAGAUGGGGUUGACUCUGCUUUAAUGUGUAAGAAUGAGCCUAAACAGAUACCCAUGGGUCCCAGGGUGGCAUAGUCUACAAGAGUUAGUCGAUUUGAAUAAGUAAGAGCUAACAUUUACUAUGCAUACACUGUGUGCCAGAUGCUAUUCUAAAUAUUUUAAAGAAUUUUAGACUGACUAGUGGUAUCCUGCUGUUAUUCUUACAGAUGGGGAAACUGAGUCACAGAGAAUAAUUUUUUAAUAAUAUCCACAUUUUGCCCUUGAUAUCUGCAUGCUGAGUGUGUGCUGUUCUUUCUUCUGAUGUAGCACAUAGUAGGUGCUUACAUUUUGAUGAUGAAAAAAAAAAAUCUCAGGGUAUCCAUCAUACAUCCUGGGGAUGGCAUGACUUGGAUUAAUUUCAUCCCUGGAUUAGAUGGAAUCAUAAGUUGACAGAGUCCUGUGAUCAUUAGAUUCUAUAGUUCCACUGCAUAUCCAGAUUCUGCUGACAUAUCUCCAAUGAUGGAAGCUCACUCCUUCGUGGGCUUCCUAGCCCAUUGUGUGACACUGUAAUUCAAAGAUAGUAGUGGUCUCUCAAUGUGAGGAAUGAAGCACCCCCCAUCAUGCUGGUUAACUAUCUUGGCAAGGUGCCUAGUGCAUGGUGAGUACUAAAUCCAUCCUCAAGAUUUCCUGAAUUCCCCCUUGUCUUUCACACAUUGAAAAGAAGAGAAAGAAUUUGUUUAUUGCUCAACUGGCUGAAAGAUGUUUUUACAAAAUAUUGUUGAGUUCAUUCCUCAUUUGAGAAGAAAGAGAUUCAGUAGAGUAAAAGGGUUCAGAUGAUGCCUUCUUUCUUAUUAGUUCUUCUUCCUUUCCCAAGUGUUUGGGAUGACACAUUUGCUAAACACCAACCUCAGAAAGGAAUGAAACACAUUCCCUAUCAGAGGGGAGUGCCUAUGAACUGUGGGACCUCAACAUACAAAUUACCUACAAGUAGAGGAGUGUGUGCUGAAGAGGGGGAUCCAGCAUUAGGGGAAGUGACAAGUGACAUUCAUGGAAAUAGUCUCUAAGGUCCAUUGGGCAAUAUUUUUGCUACCUUCUCAUGAGCUUUUUCUAUGCAACUGAAAGAAGUGAUUGCACUUGAAGCAGUGUAAAAUUGCCCCCAGAUAUAUGGUUUUAUUAAUCCAGCAGAGAAUGCCACUGAAGCCACUUGCCAGCUCUGAAGUUUGAGUUCCCAGUCCCCACCCUAAACUGUCACUGCCUGAACCAGCUGCCUUGCUCCUUUGUUAAAAUGUCCCCUUGUGCUUGGCUGCAGGAUGGGACUUUCUAGGGUUUCUCCCUAGCUUAACAAGCCCCUUCUUCGUGGCCUUUUGGCUGGGUUCCUUCCUCUUAUACCCUCAUCCACUGGAGUUGGCCAUGUCCUGCUGUUCUUUUCUGCCCCCACUUUCUUUCCUGGGAAUUUUAAACCAGCAGCAUGUGGCUGACAAAUGACCAAUAUAUGUCAACCACUUUCUGUCUUCUCUGUUUUCUCCAUGGACUCUUCAACAUGUAUCUCCAGUGUCACAUAUUUGCCUCCUGAGUCGUCUGGAAAUGGCUGUUUUCCUCUGAUCUUAGCCUGUCCUUGGUUCCUCUUGCCCUCACUAGUACCUUCCAUCCAUCAGAGGAUCCCAAUUCCUCUUCCUGAGAAAGGUCUGAGUCAUGCUACUUACUGCCCCGGACUCCAUCCCUUUCAGAGCUGCCUCUAUUCACAAGAAUGAACCCUCCCACUCCUUCUCUGCUGCCCUUCAGCCUGCUCCCACGAGGGCUGGUUGGUUCCCAGAGCCUUGUAAAAUCCAGCCUUCAUUUCUAGGAGGUUCUCAUGGGCUAGGCUGGUCUUGGUUUUGUUUUCUCUCUGUCCCCAGCGCUCUCUGUUCUAAACAUGCUGAGCUUCUGGCUGUUCCUCUAUAAGCCACCACCUUCCCCUCUCAACUUGGCAUCCAUGUCACUAGCUCCUCAUUUCUGUCAGAUCUUGGGCAAAGAUUUUCCAGAUGACUGGAAACAAAGCAGUGUUUGGCAUCACUGUUUUCCCACUCCAACUUGCCCCUACAGAGAUUAUUGUGUUUGUAACACAGUAUGUAUUUGUGUGCGUAUAAUCUGCUUCUUACCCUUACAGCUUAAGCUUUAUAACACAGACUUCUUAUUUGCCCAAGUGUCUAGAACAAUACUGGCACUUAGCAGAUGCCCAAAGAAAUAUUGGCCUGAAAGAGUGAGUUGGAAAAUGUAUUUGACUCUCAGCUCUGCCUGCCAUUCCCUGUGAUUCAGGCCAGCCCCGUACCAAGAACCUCUACAUCCUCAAUCUUCAUUGGAAACAACCAUGUUUGCCAUUCCAACAGAUAGUGAAGAAAGCCAAGUGAGGUGCCCAUGGAGGCCAGAAGAAGACAGUGGAUCCUCUGAACCUGGAGUUAAAGGCCUGAUGAACUACCCAUAAGUUGAAAACAUGUUGAAGAUUGCAGAGCAACACAUGAAGAGGAGUCUGGGCCUCUGCUACCAGAGAGUGCUGUUUCAACCCAGGAUCACUUCCUGUUAGGCUUCUGUGUGUUGAGAGAACAAAACCUCAUGAUCAUGAUGAGCUUUCUGCCAUAGACAGUGGACCAUUUUCUCAGAAUGCCACUUGUUAUACUUUGGAUGUGAUCUUGUCCCUGAACUCAUGUGUUCCAUACUUGGUUCCCAGAGUGGUGAGCUUGGUAGGUGGUAUGAACCCUUAAAGAGGUGGGGUCUAGCAGGAGGUGUUUAGAUCAGUAAGGGCACUGCUUAACAGUUUUCAUGGGACUCAGCUUAGUUUCCACAAGAGGAAUUGUUAAAAGAGCAGACAUGGCUGUCAAGUUCCUCAACAUUCUUUUUUAAAAUUAAUUAAUGUGCAA